CCAGGGGCAACUCUGGUUCAGUGGCGGACGGGUGCGUAACACGUGAGGAACAUGACCUUCGGCGGGGGAUAGCCGGCCCAACGGCCGGGUAAUACCGCGUACGACCAUUAGGGGACAUCCCCCGGUGGUGAAAGCAGCAAUGCGCCGAUGGAGUGCCUCGCGGCCUAUCAGCUAGUUGGUGAGGUAACGGCUCACCAAGGCGACGACGGGUAGCUGGUCUGAGAGGAUGGCCCCCCACAUUGGGACUGAGAUACGGCCCAGACUCCUACGGGAGGCAGCAGUGGGGAAUCUUGCGCAAUGGCCGAAAGGCUGACGCAGCGACGCCGCGUGCGGGAUGAAGCUUUUCGGA
rnacentral:rRNA from 1 species